UUGAAGUUAAUAGGGUUUAAUCCUUUGAACGAUAAGUAAUUAUUAAAGAAAAGGGAUAAGAGAUUUUAACAUAGAUCAAACUGUGGCGGCGGCAUCGGUACCCCAGAUUUCGAACGUUCCAAAAUAUCAAGAAAGAGAAAGACACCUGUGGACUAGUGACAUUCGAAUUCUUCGGUUGAGAAAAGUGUUCUAGGCUCAGACAUAACCUCACCUCUCGAAUUUGAUAGCAGAUUUUAAUCCAAGGGUGAGCACUUCGUCUCCACGCAGUCAUGGGUCAUCUUAUUCUUUUUCUUGUCCAUCUUUCAGGCAAUAAAACAUUCUUGAUUUACUUUAUUUCUGGAUAUCACUUUAGACAUGAUCUUUGUUAGUAGUUUUUGUACGAUGA